GAUGAACGCUGGCGGCGUGCCUAAUACAUGCAAGUCGAGCGAACGGACGAGAAGCUUGCUUCUCUGAUGUUAGCGGCGGACGGGUGAGUAACACGUGGAUAACCUACCUAUAAGACUGGGAUAACUUCGGGAAACCGGGGCUAAUACCGGAUAAUAUUAUGAACCGCAUGGUUCAAAAGUGAAAGACGGUCUUGCUGUCACUUAUAGAUGGAUCCGCGCUGCAUUAGCUAGUUGGUAAGGUAACGGCUUACCAAGGCAACGAUGCAUAGCCGACCUGAGAGGGUGAUCGGCCACACUGGAACUGAGACACGGUCCAGACUCCUACGGGAGGCAGCAGUAGGGAAUCUUCCGCAAUGGGCGAAAGCCUGACGGAGCAACGCCGCGUGAGUGAUGAAGGUCUUCGGAUCGUAAAACUCUGUUAUUAGGGAAGAACAUAUGUGUAAGUAACUGUGCACAUCUUGACGGUACCUAAUCAGAAAGCCACGGCUAACUACGUG
rnacentral:rRNA from 1 species